rnacentral:rRNA from 1 species
GACGAACGCUGGCGGCGUGCUUAACACAUGCAAGUCGAACGGUAAGGCCCUUCGGGGUACACGAGUGGCGAACGGGUGAGUAACACGUGGGCGAUCUGCCCUGCACUUCGGGAUAAGCCUGGGAAACUGGGUCUAAUACCGGAUAGGACUCCGGACUGCAUGGUCUGGGGUGGAAAGCUUUUGCGGUGUGGAUGGGCCCGCGGCCUAUCAGCUUGUUGGUGGGGUGAUGGCCUACCAAGGCGACGACGGGUAGCCGGCCUGAGAGGGUGACCGGCCACACUGGGACUGAGAUACGGCCCAGACUCCUACGGGAGGCAGCAGUGGGGAAUAUUGCACAAUGGGCGCAAGCCUGAUGCAGCGACGCCGCGUGAGGGAUGACGGCCUUCGGGUUGUAAACCUCUUUCAGCAUCGACGAAGCGAAAGUGACGGUUGGUGCAGAAGAAGGACCGGCCAACUACGUGCCAGCCGCCGCGGUAA